rnacentral:rRNA from 1 species
UGGGGAAUUUUGGACAAUGGGGGCAACCCUGAUCCAGCCAUGCCGCGUGAGUGAAGAAGGCCUUCGGGUUGUAAAGCUCUUUCAGGUGGAAAGAAAUCGCAUCUUUUAAUACAGGGUGUGGAUGACGGUACCAUCAGAAGAAGCACCGGCUAACUACGUGCCAGCAGCCGCGGUAAUACGUAGGGUGCGAGCGUUAAUCGGAAUUACUGGGCGUAAAGCGUGCGCAGGCGGUUAUGUAAGACAGAUGUGAAAUCCCCGGGCUCAACCUGGGAACUGCGUUUGUGACUGCAUAACUAGAGUACGGCAGAGGGAGGUGGAAUUCCGCGUGUAGCAGUGAAAUGCGUAGAGAUGCGGAGGAACACCGAUGGCGAAGGCAGCCUCCUGGGCCAGUACUGACGCUCAUGCACGAAAGCGUGGGGAGCAAACAGG